CGGCAACAGCUCAAAUUUGAAAUCUGCCCGCAAGGGCCGAGUUGUAAUUUGUAGAGGCGUUUUCCGCGCCGGUCCGCGUCCAAGUCCCUUGGAACAGGGUAUCAAAGAGGGUGACAAUCCCGUGCUUGACGCGACCGCCGGUGCUAUGUGAUACGUCUUCUAC
rnacentral:rRNA from 1 species